rnacentral:rRNA from 1 species
AUUGAACGCUGGCGGCAGGCCUAACACAUGCAAGUCGAGCGGCAGCGGGACCUUCGGGUUGCCGGCGAGCGGCGGACGGGUGAGUAAUGCCUAGGAAUCUGCCUGUUAGUGGGGGAUAACGCGGGGAAACUCGCGCUAAUACCGCAUACGUCCUACGGGAGAAAGCGGGGGCUCUUCGGACCUCGCGCUAACAGAUGAUCCUAGGUCGGAUUAGCUAGUUGGUGGGGUAAUGGCCCACCAAGGCGACGAUCCGUAACUGGUCUGAGAGGAUGAUCAGUCACACUGGAACUGAGACACGGUCCAGACUCCUACGGGAGGCAGCAGUGGGGAAUAUUGGACAAUGGGCGAAAGCCUGAUCCAGCCAUGCCGCGUGUGUGAAGAAGGUCUUCGGAUUGUAAAGCACUUUAAGUCGGGAGGAAGGACUGUAGGCUAAUACCUUGCAGUUUUGACGUUACCGACAGAAUAAGCACCGGCUAACUUCGUGCCAGCCGCCGCCGUAA